rnacentral:rRNA from 1 species
AGCAGCCGCGGUAAUUCCAGCUCCAAUAGCGUAUAUUAAAGUUGUUGCAGUUAAAAAGCUCGUAGUUGAAUUUCGGGGUCAGUAGAUUGGUCGUGCCACUGGUAUGUACUGGUCUUACUGGCUCCUCCUUCCUGAUGAACCGUAAUGCCAUUAAUUUGGUGUUGCGGGGAGACUGGACUGUUACUUUGAAAAAAUUAGAGUGUUUAAAGCAGGCUAACGCUUGAAUACAUUAGCAUGGAAUAAUGAAAUAGGACGUUCGAUCCUAUUUUGUUGGUUUCUAGGAUUGACGUAAUGAUUAAUAGGGAUAGUUGGGGGCAUUAGUAUUCAAUUGUCAGAGGUGAAAUUCUUGGAUUUAUUGAAGACUAACUACUGCGAAAGCAUUUGCUAAGAAUGUUUUCAUUAAUCAAGAACGAAAGUUAGAGGAUCGAAGGCGAUUAGAUACCGCCCUAG